GGGGUUGAUUUGGUUUCGACUUCGUACAUUGCGCCAGGGGAAGCGUGCCGGUGCAGGCUAGAGACCACCGUAUAAGCGUCGUAGCAACCAAUAAGCGCAGAGAAGAACUCUCAGCGUGACUACGCCCUCGCUGCCUAAUUACAGCGACGCGUGUCUGUCAGCCUAGGUUUUGUUCCUGACCUAGAUCCUGGCAUCGACUAGGGAACUUGCCGUCUGGUUGUGCCAACAGGGCCAGAUGGGACUCUCACUGAUGGCUGGGCUCAUCAUCCGGAACGUGUUCGUCCGAGCCGGAGAGCCGAGCAAAGAUCCCGCGCGAACUGCGCACGGAGAAGCCCUGGCAAAAUGACGAAGGACCCGGGUUCAAGUCCCGGCAGCUCCACCG
rfam:Corynebacterium flavescens strain OJ8, complete genome.